rnacentral:rRNA from 1 species
GUUAGGAAUAUUGGACAAUGGGCGCAAGCCUGAUCCAGCCAUGCCGCGUGAGUGAUGAAGGCCUUCGGGUUGUAAAGCUCUUUAGCCGAUGAUUAUAAUGACUGUAGUCGGAAAAUAAGCCCCGGCUAACUUCGUGCCAGCAGCCGCGGUAAUACGAAGGGGGCGAGCGUUAUUCGGAAUCACUGGGCGUAAAGCGUGCGUAGGCGGCUUUGCAAGUUGGGAGUGAAAGCCCAGGGCUCAACCCUGGAAUUGCCCUCAAAACUGCAAGGCUCGAAUUCGGGAGAGGAUAGCGGAAUUGUCAGUGUAGCAGUGAAAUGCGUAGAUAUUGACAGGAACACCAGUGGCGUAAGCGGCUAUCUGGACCGAUAUUGACGCUGAGGCACGAAAGCGUGGGGAUCAAACAGGAUUAGAAACCCCAGUAGUCC